rnacentral:rRNA from 1 species
GAUGAACGCUGGCGGCGUGCCUAAUACAUGCAAGUCGAGCGAACAGACGAGGAGCUUGCUCCUCUGACGUUAGCGGCGGACGGGUGAGUAACACGUGGAUAACCUACCUAUAAGACUGGGAUAACUUCGGGAAACCGGAGCUAAUACCGGAUAAUAUAUUGAACCGCAUGGUUCAAUAGUGAAAGACGGUUUUGCUGUCACUUAUAGAUGGAUCCGCGCCGCAUUAGCUAGUUGGUAAGGUAACGGCUUACCAAGGCGACGAUGCGUAGCCGACCUGAGAGGGUGAUCGGCCACACUGGAACUGAGACACGGUCCAGACUCCUACGGGAGGCAGCAGUAGGGAAUCUUCCGCAAUGGGCGGAAGCCUGACGGAGCAACGCCGCGUGAGUGAUGAAGGUCUUCGGAUCGUAAAACUCUGUUAUUAGGGAAGAACAAAUGUGUAAGUAACUAUGCACGUCUUGACGGUACCUAAGCAGAAAGCCACGGCUAACUACGU